UACGUAGGGCGCAAGCGUUAUCCGGAAUUAUUGGGCGUAAAGAGCUCGUAGGCGGUUUGUCGCGUCUGCUGUGAAAUCCCGAGGCUCAACCUCGGGUCUGCAGUGGGUACGGGCAGACUGGAGUGCGGUAGGGGAGAAUGGAGUUCCUGGUGUAGCGGUGGAAUGCGCAGAUAUCAGGAGGAACACCGAUGGCGAAGGCAGUUCUCUGGGCCGUAACUGACGCUGAGGAGCGAAAGCGUGGGGAGCGAACAGG
rnacentral:rRNA from 1 species